CCUACGGGAGGCAGCAGUGAGGAAUAUUGGUCAAUGGACGAGAGUCUGAACCAGCCAAGUAGCGUGAAGGAUGACUGCCCUAUGGGUUGUAAACUUCUUUUAUAGGGGAAUAAAAUGGUCCACGUGUGGGAUUUUGUAUGUACCAUAUGAAUAAGGAUCGGCUAACUCCGUGCCAGCAGCCGCGGUAAUACGGCGGAUCCGAGCGUUAUCCGGAUUUAUUGGGGUUAAAGGGAGCGUAGGGGGAUUGUUAAGUCAGUGGUGAAAGUUUGCGGCUCCACCGUCAAAUUGCAGUUGAAACUGGCAGUCUUGAGUUCAGUAGAGGUGUGCGGAAUUCGUUGUGUAGCGGUGAAAUGCUUAGAUAUCAC
rnacentral:rRNA from 1 species